rnacentral:rRNA from 1 species
CCCCCUAGGCUAGGACACUGAGUAAUUCCACGCUUCCUAGAAAAGCCGCGUACGGAGCCCCUUUGGUGAUCGUACUGCAAACCGACUCAGGUGGACGGGGUGAAUAUCCCAAGGCGCGUGAGAGAACCCUGGUUAAGGAACUCUGCAAAUUGACACCGUAACUUCGGGAGAAGGUGUGCCGCUGGCGGUUAGUGACUUCGCGUCACGAAGCUGUCGGUGGUCGCAGUGAAAUGGCGGUUGUGACUCUACUAAAAACACAGGACUCUGCGAAGUCGUAAGACGACGUAUAGGGUCUGAUGCCUGCCCGGUGCUGGAAGGUUAAGGGGAUAUGUCAGCGCAAGCGAAGCAUUGAACCGAAGCCCCAGUAAACGGCGGCCGUAACAAUAACGGUCCUAAGGUAGCGAAAUUCCUUGUCGGGUAAGUUCCGACCUGCACGAGGGCAUAACAACAUCCGCACUGUCUCGACCAGGGACUCAGCGAAAUUACAUUGGGGGUGAAGAUGCCCUCUACCCGCGGAAAGACGGAAAGACCCCAUGAACCUUUACUGCAACUUGGCAGUGAUUUUCGGGUUGUUCUGCGUAGGAUAGGUGGGAGGCUUUGAAGCCGGGCUUCCGGGUUCGGCAGAGCCAACGUUGAAAUACCACCCUGAAUAAUCUGGAAAUCUAACCUGCGCCCAUGAUCUGGGCGAGGGACACUGCCUGGUGGGCAGUUUGACUGGGGCGGUCGCCUCCUAAAUUGUAACGGAGGCGUGCGACGGUUCCCUCAGGCUGAUUGGAAACCAGCCGUAGAGUGCAAACGCAUAAGGGAGCUUUACUGCGAGACUGACAAGUCGAACAGUUGCGAAAGCAGGUGUUAGUGAUCCGGUGGUACCACAUGGAAGGGCCAUCGCUCAUCGGAUAAAAGGUACUCUGGGGAUAACAGGCUGAUCGCGCCUGAGAGUUCACAUCGGCGGCGCGGUUUGGCACCUCGAUGUCGGCUCAUCGCAUCCUGGGGCUGGAGCAGGUCCCAAGGGUUUGGCUGUUCGCCAAUUAAAGUGGUACGCGAGCUGGGUUUAAAACGUCGUGAGACAGUUUGGUCCCUAUCUUCCGUGGGCGCAGGACACUUGAGAGGAGCUAUCCAUAGUACGAGAGGACCUGGAUGGACGAACCUCUGGUGCUCCGGUUGUCACGCCAGUGGCAUUGCCGGGUAGCCAUGUUCGGAACAGAUAACCGCUGAAGGCAUAUAAGCGGGAAGCUGGCCUCAAGACUAGGUGUCCCUGACGCAAGUCACUAAAGGCCCCUCGAAGACUACGAGGUUGAUAGGCUCGGUGUGGAAGCGCUGCGAGGCGUGGAGCUAACGAGUACUAAUAGGCCGUGCGACUUGACCUC